CAGUCGCCACGGUAAUACGUAGGUGGCAAGCGUUGUCCGGAAUUAUUGGGCGUAAAGCGUGCGCAGGCGGUUUUGUAAGACAGGCGUGAAAUCCCCGGGCUCAACCUGGGAAUGGCGCUUGUGACUGCAAAGCUAGAGUGCGGCAGAGGGGGAUGGAAUUCCGCGUGUAGCAGUGAAAUGCGUAGAUAUGCGGAGGAACACCGAUGGCGAAGGCAAUCCCCUGGGCCUGCACUGACGCUCAUGCACGAAAGCGUGGGGAGCAAACAGGAUUAGAUACCCCAGUAGUCCCUGUCUCUUAUAC
rnacentral:rRNA from 1 species